rnacentral:tRNA from 2 species
GCCCGGCUAGCUCAAUCGGUAGAGCGUGAGACUCUUACGGAGAUCUCCGAAAUCUCAAGGUUGCGGGUUCGACCCCCGCGUUGGGCU